GCCUAACACAUGCAAGUCGAACGAAGCCUUCGGGCUUAGUGGCGCACGGGUGCGUAACGCGUGGGAAUCUGCCCCUUGCUUCGGAAUAACAGUUAGAAAUGACUGCUAAUACCGGAUGAUGUCUUCGGACCAAAGAUUUAUCGGCAAGGGAUGAGCCCGCGUAGGAUUAGGUAGUUGGUGGGGUAAAGGCCUACCAAGCCGACGAUCCUUAGCUGGUCUGAGAGGAUGAUCAGCCACACUGGGACUGAGACACGGCCCAGACUCCUACGGGAGGCAGCAGUGGGGAAUAUUGGACAAUGGACGCAAGUCUGAUCCAGCAAUGCCGCGUGAGUGAUGAAGGCCUUAGGGUUGUAAAGCUCUUUUACUAGGGAUGAUAAUGACAGUACCUGGAGAAUAAGCUCCGGCUAACUCCGUGCCAGCAGCCGCGGUAAUAUGGAGGGAGCUAGCGUUGUUCGGAAUUACUGGUCGUAAAGCGCACGUAGGCGGUUACUCAAGUCAGAGGUGAAAGCCCGGUGCUCAACCCCGGAACUGCCUUUGAAACUAGGUAACUAGAAUCCUGCAGAAGCGCGUGCAUUUCCCAGUGUC
rnacentral:rRNA from 1 species